rnacentral:ncRNA from 10 species
UACGUUCAUCUUAAUCUGCAGGUUAAGACGGAAGUAGGGAGAUAGGAAAACCUCUUUCUUUGAUCAAAGAAAGGCAAGCUAGUACCGAAAGGGAACGAGACCGAAUAUCUACCGAAGGAACGCGUU